CAGUCGCGGGAAUACGUAGGUGGCAAGCGUUGUUCGGAAUUACUGGGCGUAAAGCGCACGUAGGCGGAUAUUUAAGUCAGGGGUGAAAUCCCAGAGCUCAACUCUGGAACUGCCUUUGAUACUGGGUAUCUUGAGUAUGGAAGAGGUGAGUGGAAUUCCGAGUGUAGAGGUGAAAUUCGUAGAUAUUCGGAGGAACACCAGUGGCGAAGGCGGCUCACUGGUCCAUUACUGACGCUGAGGUGCGAAAGCGUGGGGAGCAAACAGGAUUAGAUACCCCCGUAGUCCCUGUCUCUUAUACACA
rnacentral:rRNA from 1 species